rnacentral:lncRNA from 1 species
AUAACUAGUUUUCAUUCUCCAAACUAGAAGGCGUUUCAGUGGGAAACAACUCCACCAGCAACUGCUGCCUGAUAAAUUGCAUCAACAAGCAGGAAUACAUCCCAUUUUAUCUUAACAACAAAAUGGAGCUUUUGAAAAAUGGAGCUUGGACAUUAUUUGCCCAUCCUUGAUGUUUUCUAUUAUAACAUUUCACAUGAUAAUGGCCAUCUUGUGGCAUAAUAGAAAUAUCAAAGAAUUGUGACUCAGAAGACCUCAGAAGACUAAAGAUUUGGGCAAAUCGGGACUUCUGAGUCCUUACCUGCAAAAUUAGGAGUUUGGGCUAAAUGGCCUAUAAUGUCCUUUCUAGGUCUAAUGUUUGGAAAGACCCCAGUGCUAAUCCCACUUCUGACACCCACUAGCUAGACGACCACAGAACAUCCCAUGCACCUCUGGUGGGAAGGCUUGCUGAGCCCUUUUCAGGGCUGCUUAUAUACCUUUGGCGUCCACCUACCGCCAGACUCUCAUCUGUGGCUCUGAGAAGCUGUAUCAGGCACAGCAGAUACAUCUGGUCAAAGCAGCUUGGCAGAAGGGUUAAACCAAGUGGAGGGUAACCAACAGACCUCCAACCCAUCAGUGAGUGAGAGGGAUGUUUGCCCCAAGCAUUGACAGAUUCCCUCCAAUGAAAUGGGCAGAUGAGAAAAAGUUGUUCCAAUGGCCAUGAAGGUGGCUGAAGCAGCUCUGUGGAACAUCUAGAGCUUGGGUGGACAUCAGAGAUGCUGAGGCCAUCCACUGCAUCUGGGACCAUUGCUAGUCCUCCUGCCUUUUGUCUUGCCACCAGACUUGGAAGACUAUAGAAGAAAGAAUAAGGUUCAUGACUUUGUGCAACUCUGUCUCACUUAAAUCCAAUUCACACACAAGACAAGACAUCACCUGGUGGUGCCAUUGGUCCUCUUCCAAAAGAAAGGAUCAACCACAACACAGUGACCACAAACAAGUCUGUGCCUCAGUUUCUUCACUUCUAAACUGCAGCUCAUGUGACAGAUGAAGAAACUAAAGCAAUGGAGGUUGAGUGACUUACCCAGGGUCUCAAGGCUUGCAAGAAUCCGAGACCAGAUUUGAACUAGGGAAGAUGAUGCUCUGCAUCCUCAUCAAAAUUGAACAGAAGGGAAUGGGAAAAACAAGGACCCUGAGAUAUGUGCAGGACAUCUUCAUGGGAAACAGAGGCAUUGGAUGCACAAAAGAACAGAAAGAGUCAGCAGUGGGGUAUAGUACAAAGUGUGUGCUGGGUUUGGAGUAGGGAAACCUAGGUUUGAACUUGAGCUUUGUUGCUUAGUAGCUGUUUGGCCUUGGACAAAUAAUUUCAUUUAAUCUCCCCAGACUUGUCUCCUCAUCUGUAAAAUGAGAGUGGGGUUAGAGGACCUCUACGGUCUCUCCUUUCUCUAGGGUUUCUAGAUAUAAAUUCAUUUUAUUUUUCAGCAAUUAUGAUAGAUGUGAUAG